rnacentral:rRNA from 1 species
AGCAGCCGCGGUAAUUCCAGCUCCAAUAGCGUAUAUUAAAGUUGUUGCAGUUAAAAAGCUCGUAGUUGAAUUUCGGGGUUCCACCGUUGGUCGGGCAAUAGUCUGUACUGGCGUGUGGAAUUUCUACCUUCUGGGGAACCAUUAUGUUAUUUAUUUAGCGUGGUGGGAAACCAGGACCUUUACCUUGAAAAAAUUAGAGUGUUCAAAGCAGGCUUACGUCUGAAUACAUUAGCAUGGAAUAAUAAAAUAGGACGGUGGUCCUGUUUUGUUGGUUUCUGAAUCACCGUAAUGAUUAAUAGGGAUAGUUGGGGGCAUUAGUAUUCAAUUGUCAGAGGUGAAAUUCUUGGAUUUAU